GACGAACGCUGGCGGCGUGGAUUAGGCAUGCAAGUCGGACGGUAGGGCUUUAUCGUAAGAUAGAGUUUGAGAGUGGCGAAACGGGUGAGUAACACGUAGGAAUCUACCCCUUAAGACGGGGGACAACCCCAGGGAAACUUGGGCUAAUACCGGAUGAGAGUGCGAGAGAUUGCAUUUAAAAGGAUGGCGAAAGUUGUCGCUUAGGGAUGAGCCUGCGGUCUAUUAGUUAGUUGGUGAGGUAAGAGCUCACCAAGGCGAUGAUAGAUAGGCGGCCUUAACGGGUGGUCGCCCACACUGGGAUUGAGAUACGGCCCAGACUCCUACGGGAGGCAGCAGUCGAGAAUAGUCUACAAUGGCCGGAAGGCUGAUAGUGCGACGCCGCGUGAACGAGGGAGCCCUUCGGGUCGUAAAGCUCUGUCCUCCGGGAAGAUAAUGACGGUACCGGAGGAGGAAGCCCCGGCUAACUACGUG
rnacentral:rRNA from 1 species